CUUUGGGCUAGCUCAGUUGGUAGAGCAUGAGACUUUUAAUCUCAGGGUCAUGGGUUUGGACCUCAUGUUGGGGU